GGAGGGAUGCCGGAGCUUGGUUGAACGGGGCGCACUCGAAAUGCGCUGUGGCCAUUGCGGCCACCGGGGGUUCGAAUCCCUCUCCCUCCG
rnacentral:tRNA from 1 species